rnacentral:rRNA from 1 species
CUCAAUGAAAUUUCAAUAGCCGCAAUUUUUUGUGCUAAGGUAGCAUAAUCAUUUGUCUUUUAAUUAAAGACUAGAACAAAAGAUUCAAUAUUUUUAUUUCUUUCUUAUUAAUACAUAUUUAAUUUAUCCUAAAUAUAAAAAGAUAUUUAUAAAACAAAAAGACGACAAGACCCUAUUGAACUUUACUAAAGUUUAACUGGGGCAGUUAAUUAAAUAAAAUUUUAAUUUAUAUUUCAACAAUUUACCUAAUAUCAUUAACAUAUAUCAAGUUACCAUAGGGAUAACAGCGUAAUAAUUUUCUAUAGAUCUUAUUUAAAAAAUAAUUUACGACCUCGAUGUUGAAUUAAUAAUCUAUUAAAUGCAAUAAUUUAAUAAGAAAGUCUGUUCGACUU